UGAGAAUUGAAAAUAACACACUGAGAAUUAAAAAUUACACACUGAGAUUUCAUAAAGACGCACUGAGAUUACAAAAAUGAAAAACGCACACUGAGAAUUGAAAAUUACACACUGAGAAUUGAAAAUUACACACUGAGAAUUCAAAAAGACACACUGAGAAUAAAUAAACUGAAAACACACACUGAGAAUUUGAAAUUACACACUGAGAAUUUAAAAUUACACACUGAGAUUUGUGCGCACUUUUUAUGCGCACAUAUCUAAUUAGCAUACUUAAUCUGAAUCUAUUACAAGCUUAAAACAACAAGGGGACAGAACUCGUUAGUCCUUCGAUUUGGUUCCAAAUUAUUAAUAAAAAAAACUUUAGAAAUACAAGAACAAGAAAGAUACCCACUUACUCUUAUUACAAAAUAUAACCAAAUGGUGAAAAACUUUAUCAAAAUUAUAAGAACACAUUGGAACAAUCUGCAAAAGAAUGCAGUGAAAAUUUUACUCAAGCGUCUAUUAUAGCCGUAACAAAAAUAUAAAAGAUUAACUGGCGAAAUCAGGGAAACAGUUGGAAGACUUUUGAAAAGGGACACAUGUUUAAUUAAUGGUAGUAAU
rnacentral:lncRNA from 1 species